CGCUGACACUGAUGUGAAAAGGCUGCCCUGAGGCUGAAACGUGAAGAUUUGUAUCCGGCAGCUUCUGGUGUCAACACUCAGAAAUGUUUCCUUUCCCUUUGCAGAGAGCCCUGUGAUGGAGACCACCACUCCCACCGUGGCUGCAGCCUGUUUCCUUGUUUCUGGCUUCCUGGAUGAGCCUUCCAUAGAAAUCAGUGAACCCCUGGACAAGAAUCUCUGGGCCUCAUCACACUGCUGAAGGGGUUCCUGGCAUAGAAGUUAUGGCUCACAAUGAUGAAUUAUAAAGAACUGGAGCAGAGCAACUGGCAGCCUCCAAAUACAAAGGAAAGGAAAUUGAUGAACAACUGGAAUCAAGUUGCUUGCUGUUGGGCUGGACUGAGCACUCUCAUGUUGUCAACUGCCCUAGGCAUGGAAUACUGCCAAUCUUACAGAGGCAA